UAGGGAAUAUUGGACAAUGGGCGAAAGCCUGAUCCAGCAAUGCCGCGUGAGUGAUGAAGGCCUUAGGGUUGUAAAGCUCUUUUACCCGAGAUGAUAAUGACAGUAUCGGGAGAAUAAGCUCCGGCUAACUCCGUGCCAGCAGCCGCGGUAAUACGGAGGGAGCUAGCGUUGUUCGGAAUUACUGGGCGUAAAGCGCACGUAGGCGGCGAUUUAAGUCAGAGGUGAAAGCCCGGGGCUCAACCCCGGAAUUGCCUUUGAGACUGGAUUGCUAGAAUCCGGGAGAGGUGAGUGGAAUUCCGAGUGUAGAGGUGAAAUUCGUAGAUAUUCGGAAGAACACCAGUGGCGAAGGCGGCUCACUGGACCGGCAUUGACGCUGAGGUGCGAAAGCGUGGGGAGCAAACA
rnacentral:rRNA from 1 species